rnacentral:rRNA from 1 species
UGAGCAAUCUGCCCUUCUCAUCGGAAUAAGCGUUGGAAACGACGUCUAAUGCCGAAUACGACCUCCUUUCGCAUGAUCGGAGGUGGAAAGCUCCGGCGGAGAAGGAUGAGCUCGCGGCCUAUCAGCUAGUUGGUGUGGGUAAUGGCCCACCAAGGCGACGACGGGUAGCCGGCCUGAGAGGGUGACCGGCCACACUGGGACUGAGACGCGGCCCAGACCUCCUGGNGGGAGG